AUAUUUUGGAACUGAGUCUAGUUCCUUCGAAUCGAUGAUACUUAAGUAUCAUAAAAAAGUAUCAUAUCUUAGAAUACAUUGAUAUCAAAGGAACUAGACUCAGUUCCGAAAUAU